rnacentral:rRNA from 1 species
CCUACGGGAGGCAGCAGUAGGGAAUCUUGCGCAAUGGACGAAAGUCUGACGCAGCAACGCCGCGUGCAGGAGGAAGGCCUUCGGGUUGUAAACUGCUUUUAUCUGUGACGAAUAUGACGGUAGCAGAUGAAUAAGGAUCGGCUAACUCCGUGCCAGCAGCCGCGGUCAUACGGAGGAUCCAAGCGUUAUCCGGAAUCACUGGGCGUAAAGAGUUGCGUAGGUGGCAAGCCAAGUCUCUGCUUAAAUGCCAAGGCUCAACCUUGGACGGGGCAGGGAAACUGGCUAGCUAGAGCAUGGUAGAGGUAGCUGGAAUUGCUGGUGUAGGAGUGAAAUCCGUAGAUAUCAGCAGGAACACCGAUGGCGUAGGCAGGCUACUGGGCCAUUGCUGACACUAAGGCACGAAAGCGUGGGGAGCGAACGGGAUUAGAUACCCCGGUAGU